rnacentral:rRNA from 1 species
GUUUGAUCCUGGCUCAAAUUGAACGCUGGCGGCGUGCUUUACACAUGCAAGUCGAACGGCAGCUUGGGUAGUGCUUGCACUACUUGAUGGCGAGGGGCGAACGGGUGAGUAAUACAUCGAAACGUACCUAUUAGUUGGGGAUAACUAAUUGAAAGAUUGGCUAAUACCGAAUAAUCUCUGAGGAGGAAAGGCGGGGACUCGCGAGGGCCUGUUGCUGAUAAAGUGUUCUUUGUUUGAUUAGCUAGUUGGUGGGGUAAAGGCUUACCAAGGCAAUGAUCGAUAGCUGUUCUGAGAGGAAGAUCAGCCACACUGGAACUGAGACACGG